GGGAUGGACGUACCUCUGGUGUACCAGUUGUUCUGCCAAGGGCAUGGCUGGGUAGCUAUGUACGGAAUGGAUAAGCGCUGAAAGCAUCUAAGCGCGAAGCCAACUUCAAGAUAAGAUUUCCCGCCGCAAGGGUAAGACCCCAGAAAGACUAUCUGGUUGAUAGGUCGAAGGUGUAAGUGCAGCAAUGUAUUUAGCUUAUCGAUACUAAUAGGUCGAGGACUUGACCAAU
rnacentral:rRNA from 1 species